AACUCUGAGCGCCCUUCUCUCCAACCCCGAGCGCCCGAGCAAAAAAAAAAACCAGUCUCUCCAACCCCGAGCACCCGUCUUCCCCUGCCGCCGCCGCUCUGCUAGGGUUGAGCUCCCCUGCCGCCGCCGACACGCCGCCGCCCCUCACCCUCCAUCUUCUCCACCGGAUCCACCGCCCCGCUAGGAGAACACAUCCCCUGCCGCCGCCCUCUCCAUCCCGCCGGCCUCUCCAUCCCUCUGCAGCUGCUGCCCUCUCCAUCCCGCCGGCCGGCUGGAUCUGGUCGCCAUCGCCGGUUUUAGGAGCUCGUCACCGGCCACCACUCCCUUUGCAGCUGCUGCCCUCUCCAUCCCACAAGGACAUGAUGGGUCAUCAUUUUUGAUGAGGACAUCCCUAAUAUUUUUUCAUCAACUCCAAUUGAUGAUGUUGCUGCACAAGACAAGCCCAAUGAAGUUAGAUUUGGACCAAUAACAAGAGCACGUGCAAAGCUACUUGAGCAAUAGGUGAACUCACUCUUAAUUGAAUCUGAUGUUUUAAUUGAUGAGAGUUUUAUACUACCUAAAUCUAUGCAUCUGUAUGAUCGGAUUUGAAGAUAACUCAAGCAUUGCACGUGGAGGAGGAGGUUGCAGCAAGAUCCAUUGCCAUUGAUUUCCUAUAUCAAGAAGAGCGCGAGGGAGGAGAGGGACGCCGGCGCACCGCAUGAAGAGGAGGAAAUCAACUAAGCGCACGUUGAGGGAUAUGUGACACACAUAGGUCUUCUACGACAUGUUAUUUUGCCUAAGUGUGUGCACGAUGGGAGUUGGGCCUGCGUGCCCCUAGUUUGGGCUGAACUCAACGUUUUGGGUCAGUUUGUAUCAAGUUUGGGUUGAACCAAGUUCGAUAGGUUGCUGGACGUCCACCCUUCUAUAUAAUUUGAGGGGCGCCCACGAUUAGGGUUAGAUCACGUUUAGAUUAUUCAGAACUUUUCGUUGAACUGUUGCAAGCAUUCAUCUGAAAUUAUAUUCCUCUUUGAUUCGAUCAGGAAUUUUACCUUCA